GGGUUGUGAGGUUAAGCGACUAAGCGUACACGGUGGAUGCCCUGGCAGUCAGAGGCGAUGAAGGACGUGCUAAUCUGCGAUAAGCGCCGGUAAGGUGAUAUGAACCGUUAUAACCGGCGAUUUCCGAAUGGGGAAACCCAGUGUGAUUCGUCACACUAUCAUUAACUGAAUCCAUAGGUUAAUGAGGCGAACCGGGGGAACUGAAACAUCUAAGUACCCCGAGGAAAAGAAAUCAACCGAGAUUCCCCCAGUAGCGGCGAGCGAACGGGGAGGAGCCCAGAGCCUGAAUCAGCAUGUGUGUUAGUGGAAGCGUCUGGAAAGGCGCGCGAUACAGGGUGACAGCCCCGUACACAAAAGCGCAUGUGCUGUGAGCUCGAUGAGUAGGGCGGGACACGUGGUAUCCUGUCUGAAUAUGGGGGGACCAUCCUCCAAGGCUAAAUACUCCUGACUGACCGAUAGUGAACCAGUACCGUGAGGGAAAGGCGAAAAGAACCCCGGCGAGGGGAGUGAAAAAGAACCUGAAACCGUGUACGUACAAGCAGUGGGAGCACCCUUCGGGGUGUGACUGCGUACCUUUUGUAUAAUGGGUCAGCGACUUAUAUUCUGUAGCAAGGUUAACCGUAUAGGGGAGCCGGAGGGAAACCGAGUCUUAAUUGGGCGUUAAGUUGCAGGGUAUAGACCCGAAACCCGGUGAUCUAGCCAUGGGCAGGUUGAAGGUUGGGUAACACUAACUGGAGGACCGAACCGACUAAUGUUGAAAAAUUAGCGGAUGACCUGUGGCUGGGGGUGAAAGGCCAAUCAAACCGGGAGAUAGCUGGUUCUCCCCGAAAGCUAUUUAGGUAGCGCCUCGUGAAUUCAUCUCCGGGGGUAGAGCACUGUUUCGGCUAGGGGGCCAUCCCGGCUUACCAACCCGAUGCAAACUGCGAAUACCGGAGAAUGUUAUCACGGGAGACACACGGCGGGUGCUAACGUCCGUCGUGAAGAGGGAAACAACCCAGACCGCCAGCUAAGGUCCCAAAGUCAUGGUUAAGUGGGAAACGAUGUGGGAAGGCCCAGACAGCCAGGAUGUUGGCUUAGAAGCAGCCAUCAUUUAAAGAAAGCGUAAUAGCUCACUGGUCGAGUCGGCCUGCGCGGAAGAUGUAACGGGGCUAAACCAUGCACCGAAGCUGCGGCAGCGAACGUAUCACCCAAGACAACUUUACGGAGUUGACGAUUGACGGAGCGAAGCGACGUCAAAGCGUUCAUUAAAGUCGAGUUGGCUUAGGGAUACGUUCGUUGGGUAGGGGAGCGUUCUGUAAGCCUGUGAAGGUGUGUCGUGAGGCAUGCUGGAGGUAUCAGAAGUGCGAAUGCUGACAUAAGUAACGAUAAAGCGGGUGAAAAGCCCGCUCGCCGGAAGACCAAGGGUUCCUGUCCAACGUUAAUCGGGGCAGGGUGAGUCGACCCCUAAGGCGAGGCCGAAAGGCGUAGUCGAUGGGAAACGGGUUAAUAUUCCCGUACUUGGUGUUACUGCGAAGGGGGGACGGAGAAGGCUAUGUUGGCCGGGCGACGGUUGUCCCGGUUUAAGCGUGUAGGUGUGUGUUCCAGGUAAAUCCGGUUCACUUUAACACUGAGGCGUGACGACGAGGCACUACGGUGCUGAAGCAACAAAUGCCCUGCUUCCAGGAAAAGCCUCUAAGCAUCAGGUAACAUCAAAUCGUACCCCAAACCGACACAGGUGGUCAGGUAGAGAAUACCAAGGCGCUUGAGAGAACUCGGGUGAAGGAACUAGGCAAAAUGGUGCCGUAACUUCGGGAGAAGGCACGCUGACAC
rnacentral:rRNA from 2 species